GCUGGGCGAUUCGCCAUGUGAGAUUACCACUAUCUCGCACAUUGUGGCAGUGUAGAAUUCCUCGUUGCAGCUCCACGCCACGUGUCCCAAACGGCGCUCCACCUAUUUUUUAACCUGAUGACGUCACUCGUGUGAACGCCAUCGGGACGAGAGAAGAGCGGUGGGGCCCAAUGGGAGACGGCCGCAUAAAAGAAAGCGUGCGUACGCAGACCAACGUGGGAGAUGGGCGGCGGAUUCUCUCUCUCCCGCACGGGAUAUCUCCUGCGGUUAUCCGUAGGGAAGGCGUUUCACGCUGUUGGUGGGUGGAGGCACCGAAUGGACGGACGAGAUCGGUUGUGACGUCAAAAUUACCACCGAGCAGUGAUGGCUUCGGAUGUUACUAGCUCAGGUGCGUUGAGUAGCUGACACGUGGAGCCCGUAAUGUGGGGCCCACUGUCCGGCUUAACAGUCACGGCUAAGGACCGCUACACUAUAGAAUUUUCCCAAAAACAUACGGAGAAACCUAACAUUUAUUUAUUCUUUUUUAGAUAAUUUAUAUAUUUUUGUCCCUCAAAAUAUGCAAGCCUAAAUACUUUGCUUCUUAAAUAUUUAAACUAUAAUUUAUACUAAUUUUUUAUUUAAUAA